GGGCCCGUCGUCUAGCAUGGAUUAGGACGCAGAGAUUAAUAGCCUGAGAUCCUGGGUUCAAAUCCCAGCGGGCCCGCCA
rnacentral:tRNA from 1 species